rnacentral:lncRNA from 1 species
GCGCCUUCUCUCUCGCAGGUUUUUUAACCUACGCUCGUCCCCCACAGCUGAACCCCGCGGAUUUCCCUGCCGGCACAGCCUCCGCAGCCCGCACACCGGGCACACACCUCCGAGGAUGCCCAGGGCUGGAUUUAUUUGCAAACCGCAGGAAGAAGAAAAUACAAGAGAGAGAGGGGUUUGGUGCAGCGCCGCGAUCACGGAUUUCAGAUGUGUUCUAAGCCUGCCGGGGU